AAUGUGGGUAUUUUCUUGUGAAAUUCAGAUCUAUUUUGGAGAAAACAAAGUCCAUUCACCAUAAUAGUUGCAUAAAACACUACAGUUUAUUAAGUCAGUGACUGAGUCAAAUGUACAACUAAAUUUAUGAAACAGGUUCAAGAAAAGCAUACUCAAUGUUUUCAUAUUAGGGAAGGAUUGUGUCUUAUUGUCAAAGUUUAAGUACUGGCUCGUGU